GGCAACACUGUUUUCUCUGGAUCUCCUAACUUCCCUGGAAGGGAGGCAACAGAAAGAGAGGGGACAGGAGCUUCAGUUUACAAACGGAAAGGCAAAGGCACAGAGAAAAAUCCCGUCAGGCUCUGCAUCACCAUUUAAUGCAGGGGUUCUCAGUCUUGCCUGGGCACUCUUCCCUCUAAGAACAUCUUAUGCACACACCCUCAAAGUACAUCUUUACUCAUUUCUUUGUAAAUGGUAUACUUGUACUACUGUAUAAUGCAGCAUGGACAUUAAAAAGCAUACACCAAAAAUAGUGACUUUGUAAGGAUGAGUUUAAAAUUCAUUUUCCUCUCGUGGAUUAUCUUGUGUUAUCAUUCUGCUUUGGAAAUCACUGAAUUAUUAAAAAGGGUGUGGGAAUGGAGGCAGAUCCUUGGGCUUCCUCAAACACAUGUAUUUGAUCAUCCUGCCUCUCCAGCUUUAAAAAGUAAGUAAUCUUGUGUGUGCAAAGGAGCAUGUGCCAUGCACUGCUUAUACUCAGG
rnacentral:lncRNA from 10 species